UGAGGAAUAUUGCACAAUGGGCGAAAGCCUGAUGCAGCGACGCCGCGUGAGUGAAGAAGUAUUUCGGUAUGUAAAGCUCUAUCAGCAGGGAAGAAAAUGACGGUACCUGACUAAGAAGCCCCGGCUAACUACGUGCCAGCAGCCGCGGUAAUACGUAGGGGGCAAGCGUUAUCCGGAUUUACUGGGUGUAAAGGGAGCGUAGACGGCGAAGCAAGUCUGAAGUGAAAACCCAGGGCUCAACCCUGGGACUGCUUUGGAAACUGUUUUGCUAGAGUGUCGGAGAGGUAAGUGGAAUUCCUAGUGUAGCGGUGAAAUGCGUAGAUAUUAGGAGGAACACCAGUGGCGAAGGCGGCUUACUGGACGAUAACUGACGUUGAGGCUCGAAAGCGUGGGGAGCAAACAGG
rnacentral:rRNA from 1 species